AGAGGAGAGAAAAAGGAGAAGAAGAAGAAGGAGAAGAACAAGGGAGGAGGAAGAAGAGGGGACGAAGGAGGGCACCUACCCAUUGAAGGAGUAGAACCAAGAGGUGACGAGACAACGCGGCACGAGGCCAUCGGCUGUCCAUCAUCACCUAGGACUCGAGUAGAUGAUUCAGGUAACCAUCCGGAGUAUGUAGUUGAGGAGCCCACUCUCGAUAGAGGUGACCUCUAGGACGAGGAACUAGCUAUGCAUGAGGAUGAAUGUUUUUGUGAUGAUUGUGCAAUCGGAGCACGUUGAGGAUGAGAGUAUCAUCUUCCUUUUUUAUUCUUUUGUUUUACAUAUCAAAUAUAGCCCUAGUGGCAUAAUCAUAAUUAUAACUUUCGCUUAGAGAAGGGGAUUGCUGCUCAAAGUUCUUCCACCUUUCAGCAAAGAUUCGAAAAAAUAGAAAUAUGAUCAGAGAGCUUCAGGAUGUCAAUGGCGAUAUCCUGACUAAAUGGGAUGCUAUUGGCCAGCGUCUGGUUUCCUACUAUGAAGAAUUUGGCAAA